rnacentral:piRNA from 1 species
UAGCUCCUCACUGGGCACUGCCUAUCA